UGAGGAAUAUUGGUCAAUGGGCGAGAGCCUGAACCAGCCAUGCCGCGUGCAGGAAGACGGUCCUAUGGAUUGUAAACUGCUUUUAUUUGGGAAUAAACUCUGGUACGUGUACCAGCCUGAAGGUACCAAAUGAAUAAGCACCGGCUAACUCCGUGCCAGCAGCCGCGGUAAUACGGAGGGUGCAAGCGUUAUCCGGAAUCAUUGGGUUUAAAGGGUCCGCAGGCGGUUUUAUAAGUCAGUGGUGAAAGCCUACAGCUCAACUGUAGAACUGCCAUUGAUACUGUAAGACUUGAAUUCGAUCGAAGUGGGCGGAAUAUGACAUGUAGCGGUGAAAUGCUUAGAUAUGUCAUAGAACACCGAUAGCGAAGGCAGCUCACUAGGUCUG
rnacentral:rRNA from 1 species